UACGGGGGGAGCAAGCGUUGUUCGGAUUUACUGGGCGUAAAGGGCGCGUAGGCGGUCGUGACAAGUCACUUGUGAAAUCUCCGGGCUUAACUCGGAACGGUCAAGUGAUACUGUCGGACUAGAGUACAGAAGGGGCAACUGGAAUUCUCGGUGUAGCGGUGAAAUGCGUAGAUAUCGAGAGGAACACCUGCGGCGAAAGCGGCGCGCUGGAUCCCUUCUGACGCUGAGGCGCGAAAGCCAGGGGAGCAAACGGG
rnacentral:rRNA from 1 species